rnacentral:tRNA from 1 species
GUCAGGAUGGCCGAGUGGUCUAAGGCGCCAGACUCAAGGUGAUCCUUGCCCGCGUAGUACGGGUUUUACGAGCGUUCUGGUCCUCUUUGAGGGCGUGGGUUCGAAUCCCACUUCUGACA